rnacentral:rRNA from 1 species
GUGGGGAAUAUUGGACAAUGGGCGAAAGCCUGAUCCAGCCAUGCCGCGUGUGUGAAGAAGGCCUUUUGGUUGUAAAGCACUUUAAGCGAGGAGGAGGCUACCUGGAUUAAUACUCUAGGAUAGUGGACGUUACUCGCAGAAUAAGCACCGGCUAACUCUGUGCCAGCAGCCGCGGUAAUACAGAGGGUGCGAGCGUUAAUCGGAUUUACUGGGCGUAAAGCGUGCGUAGGCGGCUUUUUAAGUCGGAUGUGAAAUCCCUGAGCUUAACUUAGGAAUUGCAUUCGAUACUGGGAAGCUAGAGUAUGGGAGAGGAUGGUAGAAUUCCAGGUGUAGCGGUGAAAUGCGUAGAGAUCUGGAGGAAUACCGAUGGCGAAGGCAGCCAUCUGGCCUAAUACUGACGCUGAGGUACGAAAGCAUGGGGAGCAA